GAUGAACGCUAGCUACAGGCUUAACACAUGCAAGUCGAGGGCAGCACGAAGAUAGCUUGCUAUCUUGGGUGGCGACCGGCGCACGGGUGAGUAACGCGUAUCCAACCUGCCCAUUACUCAGGGAUAGCCUUGCGAAAGUAAGAUUAAUACCUGAUGUUGUUAAAAACCCGCAUGAGUUUUUAACCAAAGAUUUAUUGGUAAUGGAUGGGGAUGCGUGACAUUAGGUAGUUGGUGAGGUAACGGCUCACCAAGCCUACGAUGUCUAGGGGUUCUGAGAGGAAGGUCCCCCACAUUGGAACUGAGACACGGUCCAAACUCCUACGGGAGGCAGCAGUGAGGAAUAUUGGUCAAUGGGCGAAAGCCUGAACCAGCCAAGUCGCGUGAAGGAAUACGGUCCUAUGGAUUUUAAACUCUUUUGAUGGGAGCAAUAAGGUGUACGUGUACAUCGAUGAGAGUACCAUACGAAUAAGCAUCGGCUAACUCCGUGCCAGCAGCCG
rnacentral:rRNA from 1 species